GAUGAACGCUGGCGGCGUGCCUAAUACAUGCAAGUCGAGCGAACAGACGAGGAGCUUGCUCCUCUGACGUUAGCGGCGGACGGGUGAGUAACACGUGGAUAACCUACCUAUAAGACUGGGAUAACUUCGGGAAACCGGAGCUAAUACCGGAUAAUAUAUUGAACCGCAUGGUUCAAUAGUGAAAGACGGUUUUGCUGUCACUUAUAGAUGGAUCCGCGCCGCAUUAGCUAGUUGGUAAGGUAACGGCUUACCAAGGCGACGAUGCGUAGCCGACCUGAGAGGGUGAUCGGCCACACUGGAACUGAGACACGGUCCAGACUCCUACGGGAGGCAGCAGUAGGGAAUCGUCCGCAAUGGGCGAAAGCCUGACGGAGCAACGCCGCGUGAGUGAUGAAGGUCUUCGGAUCGUAAAACUCUGUUAUUAGGGAAGAACAAAUGUGUAAGUAACUAUGCACGUCUUGACGGUACCUAAUCAGAAAGCCACGGCUAACUACGUG
rnacentral:rRNA from 1 species